UCCUGUCGCGACAUGCGGGCGGCGUCGUGCCAGCCCGUGCAGCGCGGCAGAAGGCGGGCCCGGGGAGCGGCGGGCGGACCCAGCGGUUCCUGGUUCACGGGAAACCGCGUGGAAGACGUUACAGAAUGCGCGCGGAAGUACCGGAAACCGGGGGGAUGUAUAAUGGUAUCCUAACUCAACGUACAUAACACAAAUACAACAGCAACACAACUGGUUGGCAGUUAUGGUUCUCAGAACGUACUGUCACUCUGCAUGUACAGUCUUGGAUGUCUACUGACCUCUGACAGAUUCCAGAAUAACCGAGAAGACAGCUAUGACUGGGAAUGUCAAUCAUCCAAAUCACAUGUAUGGGAAUUAAGAUAUGAAAAUUAGUAGGCCUUUUGUACAAAAGAAAGAAACGAAGUGUAAGUAAAGCUGUUUUACUCAGGUAGCCCUACAUGCAGUAUUUGGUUCCAUAAAAAGUAAUGUAGAUAUGGCAACAGUGAAGGAAAGGCCAUUGUUCUUAUAAGCCUGUGUCUCUACGGUCUGUUUGUAAUGGUGAAUAUUAUUUUACAAUUUCAACCAGUAGGCAAUAACAAUGCAAACAGAUAACAAAAAACUGCUGGUAUGGAAUGUCAACAUGAUGAAUUUUUCCCUAGAAAAAUCUUAAACCAGCUGUACUCCUGUUAAUGUACUGUUCAUGGCUCUCAAGCAUACAUGUCUCCUAGACAAUAAGAGUAAUAUUCUGCUAUAAGAUGAUACUAUGCUUGGAAGACUGCAAUUUCUGCAGCUGAAUACUGACUAUAUACCUGAGUGUUCUGGGCUUUCCUUCAUGAAAUUUUAUACAUAUGUUAGGCUAAUGUUAAGAGUGAAUACAGACAUUCCUGUGUUUUCCUGCUUCUUUAAAAUAAAGGCGGAAUAAAUUCUAUUGUACAAUUAGAAGCACAAUAUUUUAUAACAGUGAUAGAGGGGAGAAUAAGGUAUUUCAAAGUUCAAAAUAAAUGAAAAAAUAUUGGCACUUAUGUUUUACAGCAAUGGAAAGAUUCGUAUAUAGAAACAAGCACUUACAUUUAGAUUUUAAACAUUUAGGCAGCAUUUCUUGUCUUUCUGACUAUUUUCAUGUUUGUGGUAUCCUUUGUGAAUACAGUGAAUUUUCAGUAAGCAUGAGAGUUUUGAAGCCAUUGGUACAAAUCCAUUUCUUAGACUCACACAAGAAUCUUUUUGCUUCCAGAGUUCGAAAUUGUGUAUCUUUAAUGAACAUGCUCUGUGUGCUUUCUGAAUGUAGCAGAAAACUUACCAAAAAUUUUAAACGCUUUCCUUCUCCAGAAGAGGAAAUCACUAUUUGGUGUCCACGCUGCCACUUACGGAACAGAUGACGCGUUACACUGUCAGAAAGACAAGCCUUGUGAUCCCGGAGGAAGUCUCUAGUAACAAACUUGCAAUGCUUGCCCGAUCGAAGAGUGGCGUAUAACAAGAAGGUAUCGUCCUCAGAGCUGAACAAAACGAAUGCAAAAGACAGAUUUUGUUCACAAGGCAGGAAGUGGUUGCAGGAAAUUAAUCAAAUGUUGAUCUGAGAUUUAUUCAUCAGCAACACUGAAAAUUCCCAUCACUACUCUAGUUCCCUGGUAGAAUAAAGAACUUCUGCUUAUCACAGGGCACCAAAAGUUAGAGUGCAAUGAAAAUUAAUUGCAUGCUACACAGAGCAUUCUUUCCUCCUAUCACAAUCUGAUAAUACAACAAUAUAAUUUUUGCCACAUAACUUAAAAGUGCUAUGUGGAACAGAACUGCUAAAACUCAUAAGGUACCUCCAAAACUUUGUUGGAAUAUAAACAGUCAUCACAACUGAUAAUAAAAUGUAAUGUCGGCAACAGCA